CUAAGUGAAAGAAUACAAACAUUGAUGAUCACAUAUUCUAUGAAUCCAUUGAACUGGAAGUCAAGAAUAUGCAAAUCUCAAUUUCAUAGACAUGAAAUCCAUCCCAGUUCACAGCUUUCUCCAGCUCUGCAUCACAAUUUGAAAAGAAGGGUUAUAGAGAGAUUCAAGAAAAACCACUUCAGCCAGCAGAGUAACCCUUGCAACUUGAAAUCUGAAAUUAAAAAGUUAUCUCAGGGAUCUCCAGAACCAAUUGAGCCCAGCUUGUUCACAGCAGAUUACCAUUUAUUGCAUCAUUCAUCAAGGGAAAAUAUCCU